rnacentral:rRNA from 1 species
AGUGAACGCUGGCGGUAGGCCUAACACAUGCAAGUCGAACGGCAGCACAGUAAGAGCUUGCUCUUACGGGUGGCGAGUGGCGGACGGGUGAGGAAUACAUCGGAAUCUACUUUUUCGUGGGUGAUAACGUAGGGAAACUUACGCUAAUACCGCAUACGACCUACGGGUGAAAGCAGGGGAUCUUCGGACCUUGCGCGAUUGAAUGAGCCGAUGUCGGAUUAGCUAGUUGGCUGGGUAAAGGCCCACCAAGGCGACGAUCCGUAGCUGGUCUGAGAGGAUGAGCAGACACACUGGAACUGAGACACGGUCCAGACUCCUACGGGAGGAAGCAGUGGGGAAUAUUGGACAAUGGGCGCAAGCCUGAUCCAGCCAUACCGCGUGGGUGAAGAAGGCCUUCGGGUUGUAAAGCCCUUUUGUUGGGAAAGAAAAGCAGCAGGUUAAUACCCCGCUGUUCUGACGGUACCCAAAGAAUAAGCACCGGCUAACUUCGUG